UACGUAGGGUGCGAGCGUUAAUCGGAAUUACUGGGCGUAAAGGGCGCGCAGGCGGCUGCUCAAGUCAGGCGUGAAAGGCCUGGGCUCAACCCGGGAAAUGCACUUGAUACUGGGCGGCUAGAGGACCGGAGAGGAUAGUGGAAUUCCCAGUGUAGUGGUGAGAUACGUAGAGAUUGGGAAGAACACCAGUGGCGAAGGCGGCUAUCUGGACGGUUACUGACGCUAAGACGCGAAAGCGUGGGGAGCAAACAGG
rnacentral:rRNA from 1 species